rnacentral:misc_RNA from 1 species
AGAACAACAUGAUGAAUUCAUCUCUAUUUCACACCCAUUUCUUCCAUUUUGAGCAAAACGAUUGAGGAUGUCAUUACACGAUAAUAAAAACAAUUUUCAGUAAUCCCUUUGAAGAAAUGAUUCCUUCAUACGAGGACAAAAACACAUCAUACACAAAACAAUAACAAAAUUGGGACACCAACCUAUUCCCAAAUCCAAAAUGCCUACUCAACAUCAAUUGUCCAAACCUAAUGACUAAUUUGAUGUAAUUUCAUGUUACUGCCAUCACUUCUGCUGUCCUCCUCCACCUUCAUGUAAUAGCAACUCCAGCAAAAAUGGUAACGAAUCUAAUAAUCAAAUCUACAUUAAGACACGGAUCAGGUGAUGUAAUAUUACUGCCAUUACAAAUCAGACUGGCUUUGC